CAUGCUAACGCCUUGUGUUUACUUUCCUGCUGUGCCAGGACUACUCUCUACUCACUUUAUCUUUCCUUGUACUUGCUUUUUUUAUAUCUUGUAUCCACUGCUGUGUGGCCUGACAUACACCUUUUCUGCUAUUCAGGGUUUUUUGGGGCUGAUGUUUGGCUCAGCUUUGUAGUUCAUCUUACAUGUGAUUCACAGCUUUUACAGUCAUUCUGAGGGAUGUGUGGCUGGGGGAGGCAAUUAGAUCUUGUUAGCUCUUUUUGCAUCUUUAAAGCAUAGGUCCCUGUGGUGCACAACCAAAACCAAGCAGGAGCUGUACAGCCUUCAGAAUUUUAAGAUAAUAAGAUUCCAUGCAGGGAUAAGGCACUAUAUUUGUUGAUUCUUAUCUUCCACACUUAAGAAAAUCCUCUAAGUUAGCUUCCGAGUGAACCCAAAAGAGCUGUAAUCUCUCCAUCAGGGUGUAUUUUGUAGCCGGCAUUAAACCAAGCAUUGGCAGGAUGUAAAAGCUGAUCAAAGGCGUUACCUGAAGCCAUUAGUUUUAAGUAUGAGACUGAGGAGGCGGUGGCUGCUAGGUGCCUCUGAAAGCCUUCCAGGUUCACGCAUAUAAAAAUAACUGCCACUGCACAAAGACCAAAGCUUAACCUGGAGAAAUGCCAGGGCUUGGGCUUCAAGGCAGAGGACAGAUGAGACCCGGCCACCAUGCAGUCAGUCACUGAGGCUGAAGAACUAACUAGUGAACAAUCUGUUCUGGUUGCACCAGUCAUGGAAAUGACUUGAGAAAUGGUACAAGUCCAUAGUCCAAACUGCCUUUAGCAACAUGGGAAAGAUUCUGUAGGAGGACUGGCCUUGAUACAAGUAAAUAUUUAUUAAUAACAUAUGUAGAAUUUCAAUAUACUUCUCAGAUAUAUAAUAAUGUGUAAUAAUAUAAAAUAAGAGUAAAUCAUAGUUAAACUCUUAGUUUUGACCAAGAGAUGGGAAUUCUAUGGUUUAGCACACAUUUGCACAACUGUUUUCUCUGGUUUAGGUUGUCAGUAGUAAGCAACAAUAUAAGUGGCAAAGGACUUGUAGCUCUUUCAGAGGCAAUGAAAACAAACACAGAACUUUCCUGUAUUUACAUCUGGGGGAACAAAUUUGAUGAAGCCACCUGUAUGGCAUUUUCAGAAUUAAUUCAGAUGAGCCGCCUGAAACUUAAUUGCACAGACGUGGAGCCUUAUGAAGUGGAUGGGCACAUUUACCUUGCAGAGCUCUCCCAUGGCCUGCAGAAGCAUUACUACUGGACACCAAGUUAUUGGGCCAUGACAAAAAAGGCUGCUAAUGCCAGUCUGGCAAUUGCAGGUGUUUCAGAAUACUUGUGAGUGAGGUAGCAGCUUGAAGCAUUCGGUAUGCUUGAGCUUUUCCUGUCUGGUUUCUAGUAAACAAGAUUGUAUCAAUA